CCCUCGGCAGCACACACAGCUUGUCUUCUAGGCUACAUCUGGUUCCACUCCUCUGUGGCUGCUGUUCUUGGUGGUCAUCCCACGGAAUAAGUUUUCUCUGUAUUUUGUGGGACAAAGUAACUCCUCAGUUAUGAAGACACGGUGGUUUGCAGGCUCCAACACAGACGUGUUACUCCAGAGAUGAAGCAAGGCUGUAAGCAGCAAUUUAAGGAGACAACAACCCAAAUAUCAGCUGUGUGUCUCCUGUGUCUUAAAAGCAUUAAUAAAAUCUGAACGUAUUCAUUUGGUAAAAAUAAAUUUCUCAAA